AUAAAUAUAAUUUAUGUAUAUUUGAAUAUUUUAAGUUUAUUUUACGUAGCAAAAGAUAUUUUAUUAAAAUAAAAAUAUUGAAUAUAAAAAUUAAUAUUUAGUUAAUUAUUAAAUAUAAAAAUUAAUAGUUAAUUAAUUAUUAAAUAUAAAAUUAUAGUGUAUAUGUUUAUAAUUUUUGUAAACUAUUAAGCCCGCAUGUGCGGCAAAACACCUAGUUUAUUAAUAUAAAGUGAAGUUUUUUUUCUCUCCAUAGGACGUCUACUACCACGUGUCACCAUAACUAAUACGAUGUGUUUUCUGACUUAUAAUUUCGUUGGGGCUUUUAUUUCCAUUCUAAGUCCAGAGUUGAUAUUUGUUUCUUCGUCACUUUGACUUGGAGCUUCAAGCGUCAGCCGACGAAAGUUUCAGAUUUUGUGAUCAUCGAUCGCUUUUACGAUUUCUUCUCAUUGAUUCGUACUUUGCUCCCAUCUUCUAUGUAAUUAACCCACUCCUCCACUCUGCAGCAUUCAAUCGACUUCACCGUAUCCAAAAAGUCUAAAGCCCCAACUAUUAAUAUCCACUAUUUCAAACAUCAACAGCACAGCUUCAAUGAUAUAAAAAAUAAUAGUCUGUUCUACUUACCGAUUACUGCGAUGGAGACUUCCUUCAUCCUCCUUGCCGAUUUGAAAGCUGGUCGCUGCUCCAACACUGCGGAAGUUCGUUUGCUGAGGUUUUGAGAGGGCAGGAAUGUGAGGAAAUGGGGUGAAGUGAUGAGUCUUGACAUGCUCCUCACUGAUGAGAAUUCUACGCUCAUGCAAGGAUCCAUUAGUGCAAAGCGUCAGCUCAUAUGCAGAGACCGUCUCAGUAAAGGAUCUGUCUGCACGUUAAGCAGUUUUGAUGUAACACACAGCAACUCCAACUUCCGGUUGUCCGAAGCACCUCUCUCCAUAAGGUUAAAUGAUGAAAUCUCUUUUGAUAAGCUAAUAGAGUCGGUUAGGUACAUACCUACUGAGCUGUUCUGAUUCCUACCAUACAAUUAGUUGCUUGAAUAGGCGAACAUAUGCAAAGAACUCCCUAGUUUGUAUCUUUAAUCUUUGCUAAUAAAGUUGAGUUUUUUAUAGCAUGGGUUAACGUAACCCUUUUAAUUCAUUUCUGAGACAUAAUUGGUGAGCUAAUUACAAUCAGCAGUACAAUCACUGAUCUUACACCGGGGGCACAACACGUGAUGCUCACUAUGCGUCUGUUAAGUGGUGAUAACGUUUGCAUCAGUAUGUUUGACUCUAUGGCACUUUCGUUUCAUAGAAAAUUUGAUAGCUACAGGAAAGGAACCAAAAAUUAUGCUUGCCACAAGCGUCAAUCCAAAGAUAGUCGGGGGCUGGUUAUUCCUGAAUGCCACUUCUCGCACACAUCUCUAUUUUGACUCCGAGACAGCUGCGUGAAAAGAAGUGUUUGGCAAGCAAGUCAUAUCUUUCUAAUUAGAGAAACACAACUUUGUCUACAUUGAAUAUAUUGAAAUUUGAUUGCGUCGUUGUUUGAAUGUCUUUCAUGCUCAUUUCCUUGCGGCUUGCCAGGCCAUGGAGCAGAGCAGACAUAGUCUUCAUCAAAGGUUGUUCAUGAGCAGAAGAUUGAACCACUUACCGUUUCUGAGCUUAACCAAUUUAUUAUCAUCACUGAUUCUUAGAUAAUUCAUUUUCUCUGCACGGCUUAAGUGACCGGUAUCCAACAAGAUAAUAGUUGGUGUUAUAUUGGAUGCUCCAGGUGUUCAAAGAAACUCGUCCUAGAGAUCUUUUCCUUCACAUGUGUUUCAUGUAAUGAAACUAAUGUUGUGGCAUCACUCAUGUGACAAUUUCAAAAUGGUGACACUGUCUGUGUCAGACAACAGUACUGAUGAUGCAUCUUUCCUCUGUUUUGAUUUGGAGAGGGCUAAACUGACUAACAUUCAAGAGGCUGCACAAAUUAUGGAAGGUGCAAAGAUCCCUGAAGAAGCGCUGCCUGAAGUUGUUGCACCAGGAACAAAUGGAAAAGUUGGUAAGACUAGGAAGGAUGCAGAAGAGCCAUCUACAUCUGAUACUUCUAUAUCUGAACGUUCAGCAUCGAUCAAAAACAAGUAUCCCCUGGUGAGAAAGCCCGGAAGAACACAUGGAAUGUGUCCACUACUAGAACAUAAACAACCACACUUUUCUUUUUAUAUGCUUUACUAUCUUUUCUUUUCCGCUAGAAUCUCUUUCCCUU